UCAAAACUUUUAACAACGGAUCUCUUGGCUCCUGCUUCGCCUAUAACGCA
rnacentral:rRNA from 1 species